rnacentral:lncRNA from 10 species
GCUGUCCCUAGAUGAGCUGACAGACCCUGGCUGAGCAGGAAGUGGCAGGGUCAGGAAAAGCUAGGCCACAAGUUUUCCCUUGAGAGCCUUAGAGACUGCAUCUCACCAUGUUGCUCAGGCUGUUCUCGAACUCCUGGGCUCAAGCAAUCCUCCUACCUCAGCCUCUCAAAGUGUUGGGAUUAUAGAUGUGAGCCACUGUACCCGGCCCUGGUUGCAUUCUUCAUUAUUAGGAACAUAAGAGUCUAGCCCUGUCGCCCAGGCUGGAGUGCCAUGGUUUGAACUCUACUCACCGCAACCUCCACCUCCCAGGUUCAAAUGAUUCUCCUGCCUCAGCCUCCUGAAUAUCUGGGAUUACAGGUGCCUGCCACUACACUCAGCUAAUUUUUGUAUUUUUAGUAGAGACAGGGUUUCACCAUGGUGGCCAGGCUGGUCUUGAACUCCUGACCUUGUGAUCUGCCCAUCUCGUGCUGGUAUUACAGGCGUGAGCCACUGCGCCCAGCCUAAAAUAAUUUUCAGUGAGUUAUAAGAAAACAGCUGCAUUCUGUUCUGUUUUUAGGCCUGGCCAGAGAAUACCAGGAGACUGUAAGAUGUCAUGGUACAUCAAGUCAGUCUCAAGUGUCCUAUAACCCUGGCUUGCCAUCAGCUUAGAAUGUUCUCUUUUUCUACUGACCUGCCUUCCAUCUGUGGUCUCUUCCUUCCGUCUGCUAUUUAUCAUGUACUUAUUGAUGUGUGUCCCAGAAUGUUCAGAAUCAUCUGAUUUAAAAGAUUCUGUCCCAUUUUCAGUAAAAGUAGCCCAAUAUUUUGUUGAGAAAACACAGUGACUGUGCAUAUACCUACCUACUCAUUAAGGUAUCACUUGUUGGUCACCUAGAGUAUAAAUUCAUGGCGUGGAUAUGACCUUGGUAUGAGCCUGUUCUAUACUGAUUUUGUCCCUCAUUGGGGAAAGACACUAGGAGGAUGUGUGUAUAGUGAAUAGAGGUACAGAUUGGGCACAGGCAGACUCUUUCUUGAAUCUAUUUCAUCAAUUAGUGGAUUUUUUUUCUCCUAGCCAAGUUAUUUAGCCUCUUCCUAUAUGAAAUACUCCUUCUUUUCAUCUGUUUUUGUUUUUAAAUGAGAUGACAAUUCAUGACUAGUCUUGGUCCCCUUAACACUUAGUGAGUGCUCAACAAAUGGUAGGAAUUAUUAUGGAUAACAAUAAUUAGUGUAAGUUCAAUAUGUAAAUAAAACUGCCUUUUGUUCACUAUCACAUCGCUUGUCUCAUCGGGUCUCAUCAUGAAAUAUUGGUCAUCAUUACUAUGAGAUCCAUCUAUGGUUAAUAUUACUAGUGUGACCCUAAAAUAGGAUUCAUCAACUAGGUAUGAUCAUCCGUCUAUUCUUUCCUUAAAUACAUUGAGCAAAAUCUUCAGGGGCAGCUGUAUUUUUUAACUGCACAUGCUACAGGGAUUCUGAAGUGAAACAUGGUGAAGAACCACCCAAUCAGACAUUUGAAUGGGGACUGACAGUCUUAAGUCUAAAGAAAUUUCCUCUUCCUUCAUAGUAAUUAGCAAGAAACUUCUACAAAAGUUACAAUGCCAAUUACUGGAAACGCGCAUAUCAGGAGUUCCAUGGAGGACCAUUUCCAAGCAGUAGACAUCAUGCAUCAAUCUGCUUUUUGAAAUCCAGACUGAUUUUCCAAAUCAUUUUUAAAUAAGAGGCCUCAAGCCGUAUGUAAGAAACAAGAAAAUUUGUGCCUUAAGAGCAACUAUCAACUUAAAUCAAAGAGGGGUAAGAGUCAUGCAAGGUCAAAAACGUUGGGAUGAUUGGUAUUAAACUCUGGUGGAAGAAGCUCCCUGAAUGCCUCCCUGACAUCAGUCAUACAGGUCAGGAAGCAAACACCUUUCCUCUUGUUUCCUAACUGCCCUUUUUACCCAUUUCAUAGCACACACUUACUCCGGUCACCAAACUGGUUACCAUCCUCCUGUGUUCUGUUUUUGUAAGAGGGCAUUUAUUUGGCCCUAGUUACCCAAGAAAAGGCAAUUAGUCUUGACAACUGCUGCAAAGAGAAAAGACGAGAUGAUGGAAACAUUCAACACUUAAAAAUCCUUAGAUUUCAAGCAUUGGGGUUUCUGCCCCUAUAGAUUUCUGGGAGUUUGGGACAAUUAAAAUAUAUCUUUUAUUUUUUUAAAAAAAUAUAUAUAAAUGAAUGCUAAAACAACUCUUAAAAGGAAAUUGCUUUAUAUAGUCUGGCUAUGAUCAGCAAAACUGGUAUUCAUAUUUACAUUUGUUUAUUAUAUCAGUGAGGUUUGAGAAUCAUUUAAAAGAAUUGUGUUCUAAUUCAACCUAAAUUCCCUUCCUGUUAAUCUGAGCCAAAUGUCCCAAACACAGACAUGGCAGUUUUUAAAUCUCUGAAAACUAUUUAAAAACUAAUAUUAAAAAUAUAGUUUUAAAAUAUAUUGCAUAUACCUGUAUACUUAGGUAUGAAGAAAUUUCCUCUUCCUUCAUGGUAAUUAGCAAGAAACUUCUAUAAAAGUUACAAUGCCAAUUAUUAGAAACAUGCAUAUCAGGUGUCCCACGUAGGACUAUUUCCAAGCAGUAGAGAUUAUGCAUCAAUCUGCUUUUUGAAAUCCAGACUGAUUUUCCAAAACACUUUUAAAUAAGAGGCCUCAAGCCAUAUAUAAGAAACAAGAAAAGUUGUGUAUAUUUGUAUACAGGUAUAUACGAGUGCCCGUAUAUGCAAGCUGAGGUGGAGAAAUUGAAGACACAGAUUAUGUAAGCCAUUAACUCUUUAGGGGAGCAAGCUCUGAUGUUCCCACUUGAAGACGGGAGAGGGGAGUCCUCUCAUGCUUGCGUCUCACUGUAACUUUUAUGCUUUUGUCUGUGGGUGUGUUUGUUCAGUGCUUAGACUGAACAACAGUGACCUCUUUGAAACAAGAGGAUAUACAGUUCACGUGCCACAUAAUGACUUUCAGUCAAUGACAGACUGCAUAUAUAAAAAGCACAUUCUAAUAGGACCUUUGAUAAUCGUUUUGUCUUCUUGACUAUCAUCUUCUCUAGGAGAAAGUCUUCCCUGAUACUCUGCCCCCUGCCUCCACACAUACACAUACACAAACACUCAGAUAUAUCUCUACCACACAUACUCCUGGCUAGGCUAAGUGCACCCUUUUCUUUUUCUUUUUCUUUUUCUUUUUCUUUUUCUGAGACAAGGCCUUGCUCUGUUGCCUAGUCUGGAGUGAAGUGGCCUGAUCAUAGCUUACUGCAGCCUCCAACUUCUGGGCUCAGGCGAUCCUCCCACCUCAAUUUCCCAAGUAAUUGGGACUACAGGCAUGCACAAACAUGGCUGGCUAAUUAUUUUUAUUAUUAUUAUAAGUAGAGAUGGGGUCUCACUAUGGUGCCCAGGUCGAUCUCAAAGUCCUGGGCUCAAGCAACCCUCAUGCCUUGGCCUCUCAAAGUGCUAGGAUUACAGGCAUGAGCUAUCAUGUCCAGCCUAGCUACCCCUUUUCUAUACUUUCCUAGCAUCAUGUGUGGGUCUUUCUCAUACUAUCUACAGCACACUGUGAUUGUGUAUUUACCCAUAUUUCUCCCAAAUGACUAUAAACACCUCAAGGGAAAGGAUUAUAGCUUAUUCAUAUUUGAAUCCUUAGUAUUUAUGACAAUGCUUGGCUCAUAAUAAGCUCUCAAGAGAUAUUCAUUCCAUUGAAUUGAAAUGACUUCCACUUGGGUUUCACAGUAGAAUACUCAUUACUCAUCAGACUUACUCAGGGGACAAGUCUCUGGCCUCAUUUUCAUUUGCAUCUUGGCCAUGAUUUUGCCUACUGUCAAUCACCAUGAAGUACAGAAAAGCAAACUGAGCUAUGGUGAGCCAAAUUAACUGGACCUAAGAUGACCUCAUCAGCAAAGCGCCCUAAGCAAUCAAGCAAUCGGGUCAGCUAGUUGCAGCCUAUAGUUAUCGUGGAAAACUGGUUGCUACUUUGAUCUCAGCUCACCUUGCCAAAUACUCCUUUUGUUUGAAAGAUAGUCAUAACAAGUACAAAACAACACUGAGUGAAUAUUUUUAAUAUUAUAAGCACCUAGAUAAAUUUAAUUUCUAUUUCCAUUAAUGAUCUGAAUAACCUAAAUUCUUCUAAUACCUAUAUUUGUCCAAUUUUAAGGUAUUCUGACUUAGGCAGAAAUUGGGCAAUUAUCUGAUUAAUUCAGGCCAAUAUUUUUAACACUGGAUUUCUGCAUCACAAGAAUUGUUAAUUUAUUCUUAUAUCCUCAUUCCUGGUACACAAUGGGUGCUCAGAAGUAGCUAGGAUUUACUGAGAGCUUACUAUAUGCUAAACUGUACAACAAUGUGUUAUCUUACAUUAAGUCUCACAAAAAUUAAAACUCUCAAAAAACUUCGCACUAAUUGUUUGAGAUAGAUGAGAUUACAAUCUGAGUCUUAAGAAGGUUAAGUAACCCACCCAAGGUCGAAUUAAGAACUUGAGCUAUCUUUUUAAUCACUACUCUAUAUAGACAUUUGUUGAAUAAAUGGUCAGAUGCAUUUUGAUCAAGCCUAUGCUUAUUUGAAAUAUCACAUGCUUUUUUGAACUUUAUAGAUAUAUAUUAACCAUUUGGAAAAAUGUAAGAACAAAAUCUCAUGGAAAAUGUAAAUUUCAAUCUUGCAAACUAAACAUUCGAUUUAUACACUUUCAGGAUUUACUCUGUUGUGUGAAUAUGCGUACUUUAGAAUAAAACUGGUAUCAUACUAUACAAUGAAUAUCAAGUUUUAAUUCAAUAAUGUUUAAUGAAUAAUUCCCUAUGUCAUUAAUAAUCCUCUUAUGAGUAUUAUUUUAAAAGAUACAUUAUUUUACUUCAAGAAAAUUUUAUGAUUUGUAUAAUAGAACUAUAGCUUUUGGACAUUUUGGCUACUUAUAACUUUUAGUGCUUUGAUAAUAUCAUUACAAACAUCAUUACACAUAUAUUUUAUAAUUUUUAAGAAACAAAUAUGUUCUUAAAUUUGUUUUUUAAGGAAAAUUAUUAUUGGUUGAAUGAUUACAUCAAAGGGAAAUGGAUUAUUUUCAUAUGUAAUUUCAUGCUACCUCCAACAAAGGUUUUAUCCUGAUUAUAUUGUAGACCUGAAUUCAUUUAAAUUUAUGCUGAUUUUUUUAACUUUAGAGACAUAUUGCUCAUAUUCAAGUACAUUUUAAUUCAUGUUAUAAGUAUAUGACAACAUAAACAUGUUUUGACAUCCUCUACUGAAUAUAUUCUUUUUACACCACUAAGCAUUUUUAAAAUUUAGUUUUUUAUAAAAAGGACAGAUAGGCAGGCAGGCAGAGAGAGACAGAGACAGAGAUGACAAGCAUAAACAAGGAAUUGUAGCUGUGGUCUAACAGAUUACACAUUUUUAAGCACCUAAAUUUAGAAAAUUAGGUGGUAUACUUUAUUAUUGAUCAUUUGGGGUCAAACUAGCUAAUCUGGCAACUUAAUUUUCCUAGGGAUUUAUUUGAUGUAAAAAUAUGGUCUGAUCGUUCUUCAGUGGUUCUUUCCUUUUAGGAGUCUUGCUCAUGAGAACCUGUCUUAAAACUUUUACUGCUUGAAAUAUGUAGAAAGUCCAAGGGUAAAGGAGAGUGGAAUUUGUUGUUGUUUACUAUGAAGAAUUAUCAUUGAGUCAGUUCACCUUUGGCUGGCAUCUGGGGAAAGUUUGCCUGCACGACAUGAUUAACAGCUAAAAUAUUCUUACGGCCUUUAUCUCAGCAGUCUAGAAGGUUCGAAUGAAAAGAACAUUAUCCAUAGAGGAAGUAGGAGGUAAACAUUCCUAACAAAAAUGGACACUCAAUAAAUACAUGUUAAAUAAAAGAAUAAACAAAUACGUUCAAGUCGAUUCUAGUUGUGCAGUGGUAACCCUUGUCGUAUUGGAACAGUAAUGCACAUGGACCAUGAGUCCUUGUAUUCUUCUUGAGCCAGCUUGGUGAACUUGGUCAAACCACUGACACUCAAUUGCUUCACUGGUAAAACAAAGCCAAUAGCAUCCGCUAUACUUAUCCAUUAGAUUUUUUAUCCAUUAGAUUUUUUAAUAUAUAUGAAUACAAUUUAUGAAAGUACUGUAUACUAUGUACUUAGUAUAUACUUAAUUAGUAUGAAAAUAAAGUAAAAAUACCAUAGAAAAUUAGAGGUUUAUGAAUUGCUAAUACAUGAGAUAUUUACUAGGGUGUAUAUUUACUAUGUCUUCUAAAAGUAUAAGUUUGGUAAGCAGAAAUCUCUUAGGGUUUAGCAUUUCUUUAACUGAUAGCAAAAAUUUUGAAUGUUAACUAUUUAAGUGUAUCUACAGUGACUUUCCUUUUCUUCAUGAUAUUGCCUUGUUUAUCCCUUUGAUUUAUCCUCAUGUCCCACUGAAGCAAGCUAUGCACCUUAAUGCCAUCUUGUUUAUGGGGACUAAUAAAAGAAAAUUGUCUGCAAUGGGAGAUCUGCUUUAUUUACAUGCAAAUUAAAACUAUAUUCCUUCGGUUACAGGCCAAAGAUUAUUAAUGCAUGAUGUGUAACAAUUUCAGGCAAAGCCUAGGAAGAGAGAGAAUGCCGAAAGACUUCUAAUGUAUGGAGUUUAAACAUCAGAUGGUGAUUGAUUGCUAUUAAUUUAUGUCAGCAAAGGAGGAGAAGAAAUACGUAAAACUGCCUCUGAAGAAUUUACAUUAAACACCAAAAGAAUCUGACUCUGAAAAUGAAGAAACAAGGAAUAUUGUUUGUUUUGGGAAUCAAAAAAAAAAAAAACUUCCCAUUUGAGUACACAAUUUCCUAAACAAGAUACAUGAUAAUUCCAUACACUAUGCUUUCCGAAGAAACUUUGUAAAACGUAUUUUCAUUAUUCAAAACUUGAAAACACAGAAACAAUAUGAUGCAAAAAAUUAUCUUUAGCAUUAUUCCACUAAGAUAAUUCAUUUUAACAUCCAUAUAUUCAUUAUUAUGUAAAAUACCUAUCAGUAUGUGGGUAUAUCUUUGUGUGUAUAUUUUAACAAAACAAAAUUCAAUAAAAAUUGAAAUACAGAAAUGACAAAAACACACAAAAAAUAUAAAUUAUUUCCAUUGUAGCAUAUAUUACCUUUUUCACCUAACAUUAUACUGUAGGAAUAUAUUCUUUCAUCAUUCAAUGCUUUUGAAAAUAUAAUAAUAUUCCAUUUUAAGGACAUGCUAUAAUUUAGUUCAUUAGUUUUUAAACUUUUAGAUUAUCUCAUUUUGUCAUCAUUUAAAAAAAGUGUUCCUGGAUGUCCUUUUGCAUAGACUUUUGAAUGUAUUUCUGACUAUUUUCUUAACCUGUCCUGUACUUCUGCAAGUAGAACUGCUUGAGCAGAGAUUAGGAGCAAUUUUAAGGUUUUUCAAAAAUCUUGACAAACUAUUCUGCAGGAAAAAUGUAUCUUGUUACCAUCAGCAUUUUUAAGUAACUAGUGACUAAUUGUAAAAAUAAUUGUGUUUCCUUGUAUUUAAGCCUUGCGCUAUAGAUUUUAAAAAUUUGUCCUUUUUUUUUUUUCAUUUGUAAAAAAAAGCCAUCUAAAAGACCUUAGAACCUGGUAUCAGCUGAAGCUUACUAAACCAUAUCAAGAAGAUCAUGUCAUUCUCAAGAAAAGCAUGUUUCAAAUAAAAAGGAAAUGUCAGCCCUGAGCGUUUUUAUUAACCAUCUCCCCAUCUGACUUCAGAGACAGCUUUAGCUGACCACUUCCUCUCUCGGGUUUAUUUGUAUUAGAAAUAAGUGGAUUCAUUAACUGUGCCACUUGGUGGUCAGGCCAGGCCUGCCAGUGUCCAAUAACAGGUAAUGGUUGUAUUUUUCACGGGGUGACUGAUGUUUACUUUGUUGAUGGCCCCAGGAGCUCAUGUAAUCUGAGAUAGGUCUUUGUUUACUUCUUGUUUUACUGAUAUGCUGACCCAUUUGAAACUAGCGAGAAAGAAAAAUAAACAUUCUGGAAUAUGGUACCUGAAGUCACUCUUCCUUAGUGGCUUUAUUGUAACCUCUUCAAAGGCUUUUGUUAACCCACUCUUUUCCCAGCAAAAAACCCUGAUCUGGUCUCUUUUCCAAUUAAACCAAAAGCAAUAUCACACCAAAUAAGCAAACAGAAAAUAUUGAAAUUACCACUUAAAGAGAGUUUUAUCUGGGGUUUAAUUGUGUGUGUACUCAAGCGUUUAGUGUAGGUCAUUUGCUAAUGACAUCUAGUAAUUUUUAAAAACUGGAUAAAACUGAUACUGAGCCUGUCUACAGCAAUUUAACUAUUUUGGGGGAGUAUAAAGUUAGAUUUGUCUAUACUGACUUGUUUGCUCCAUUUUAAAAACUGUGUUGGAAUGAUUUAUUAUGGAUGAUCCAAAAUAAACGUGAAGUGAGGAAACUAUUUUUUAAUUACCACUGGUAGCAUAUUUAAUGGAAUUGUGUUAUUGUGCCAGAAACCUUAUUGAGCUAUAUUUGUUCUAUUAUCUUACUCAUCAGCACAGCAAAAGUUCAUAUUUCAAGGGUGAAGGAAGUGAGGCAUAGAGAGGUUAAAUAAUUCCCCAAAGGCAGAGGGCCGCCAAUUGGUGAAUGUCAGACAUAAUCCCACGCCUGCCUGAGGCCGGAGUCCAUAUUCUUAACAGACAUCCUCUUUUGUCUCCUUAUUUCAUGAUGCCAAAUAUGCAUGACGCUGAUAUAAAGCGUAUAUAUUGGAAUCUGUAUAUUCAAAUGAGCGAUGUCCAUUCAGUCAAACUGGAAGUAUGCCAAUUACCUUCCUAUAUUCAACACUUAGCUCAGAGAUGAUGAGGCACUUCACAGUUGUUUAAUUGCACUGAGCACCCACCCCACAAGCCCAUUUUACUUCUGUUCAAACCAGGUUUGCUAUUCUAAUUUUGGAAUUAUGUUCAUUUGCAAUCUGAGUCACAAGAGUAAAUAAACUUUAUCAGUAUAUCUUUAAAAUUAUGUAUACAUUUAUAAUGUAUUUAUGUAUAGAAAUAUAUAAACACAUUUAUAUAAACACACACAUAUCUCUAUAAAUCCACAUAUUUACACUUGACUACUAAAAAUUAGUUACAAUAUUUGUCUCUUCUAUGUGUUUUCAAAAGUUAUAUUUAAUCCCAAAGAAUUACCAUGAUGAUGUAUGACAGAUUCAAAAAGGAGAUUCAACAGAAUUUGAGGAAUUGUAACACAGUUAGAAAAACAUAGCCCCAAAGCAAACACUUUUAGGGAAUAUUCUUUAUAUUAAGUAUGAGUAUUAAAAAAUUUGAUUAGAAGUGUUUAUAUAUUACUUUAUACUUGUGUAUAUUACAUCCACACCCUGUAUACAUAAUAUAGUUAAUAUAUAUGUGUAUACAUCAUGUAUAUAGGCUGUGAAAGUAAUAUUAAUAUAUGAAUAAGUACAUAUGUACAUUUAAAAAUUGUAUGUACUCAAAAUGCAUAUUUUUUCAGAAGACUGACAAUUACAUUCUAGCACAAAACUUAUUCAAAACCUCUAGUCCAUAAGACAUGAGAAUCAGCAGGUUCCACUUGUGCCCCGUGGGUCUGUAGCCGAUUCAGGGUGGCAACUGCCACAUCUUCCCCUCCUGAUUUAUUUGCUUUCGGUCAGUUUGGCAGCUGCCCCCACAACAGCCUGAGAACGCAAUCUAUACUUCACAGAAAGGCAUUUGGAAUAGAAGAGGGUUUCUGAGGGCAUUUAAAAAAAUAAAUGAAAUAAAGAUGUUGCUAAAAGCUAUCCUCUCAGAUUCACAAGGCUGACAGGAAAACAAAGUUUCAACUUGCAAACAGCAUGAACUGGCCAAGUGGUUUGCUCUGUCAUGGACAGCAGCAAGGCUGGCAUGCAGUCUUGCUGUGCUCACACUAUUGGCCCUGUGAAAACUCAGGCCAGAUCUCCUGUCCAGACAAGAGCCUGGGUUAUUGGGAGAAAAAUCCAUUUUAACUAUUACAUUCAUUUUCAUUUUUCCAGGAAUACAAUCCAAAAUCGCAGGGAGCACUUGGAAACAAUUCUUGGCAACUGUAUUCAGUUGAAGAAACUCAGAAUAUGAAAGCAUUAACAUAGAGUGCAACCAAAACACAAAUAAGAAUCACCCAAGCUGGGCUACAAGAAUAGCUACUGUUUACUCUGAGUGGAUAUUUAUGAAGAGCCGUAGUAAGAAAGAUCUUUUUGAUGAUAACAGAGCGGUGUAUGGCAUGAUAUUAAUUCUGCCUCAUUAGUGAAAUGAAAAACUCUGAGAUAGGUGUGACAAAGAAAAUUAUCACUGUUUCUCAUUCAGUGUUAAUUUCGCUUCUUGAAUUAAAUUCUGCUCAUUCUCUUCGGUGCAUUUAAAAUUAUUCCUUUCUUUUGAUACAUAUAUAUAUCUAUAUCCUAUGGAAUACUACUCAGGCAUAAAAAUGAAUGAAAUCAUGUGUUUUGCAGCAGCAUGGAUGAAUCUGGAGGCCAUCAUCCUAAGUGAAAUAACUCAGAAACAUGUUCUCACUUAUAUCACAAAUAUCUCACUCACAAAUAUCACAUGUUCUCACUUAUAAGUGGGAGCUAAACAGUUAAUACACAUGGACAUAGAGAGUGGAAUAAUAGGCAUUGGAGAACUCCAAAAGAAGGAAAAGUGGGAGCAGGGGUGAGAAAUGAGAAAUUACUUCAUGGGUACAGUAUACAUAUUCAAGUGAUGGGUACACUAAAAGUGCAGAAUUCACCACAAUGCAAUAUAUCCAUGUAACAAAACUGCACUUGUACCCCCCAAAUCUAUACACAUGAAAAAAAAUUGUUCCUUUCCAAUAUCAGCAUGUAUUAGAAUCAGGAAUGGUUUAUACAUUAAACACUAUAAGCACAGCCCUUAUGGAAUGUGAGCCUUUUGAAGAUACAUUAUUUGGAUAGAGCUUGAAUUUUUUUUUUUAAAAAAGAACAAUAAUAGUAACAUGCAUUGAGUGUUUACUUUGUACCAGGUAUGCUAUGAGGGUUUUACAUCCAUUAACUCUCUUGAUCCCCACACCACCCUUUGGGCAAGGUACUUAAAUUAUCAUCAUAUGCAAAACUUGACAUGUAGAGAGAAUAAGGAACUCGCUCAAGGUUAGACUGAUAAUAAGUGACGGAGCUGAUCUUCUAACCCCUGGAGUUGACUUUGCCACCACACUGCCUUCUCACACAUGUUCAGAACUCUCAAUCUUUUCUCAACAGAAGAACCCCAAAGUCUGUUUUGUGUCUUUUUCUAUUCAAACACCCAGACAGAGGGAAGAGCAAAGGUCCUAUGGCCCAGGGAAGUCUGGCUUGAUGGAGAAAAUGAAAGCUGAUAGAUGUGGAUGAAAAAACAAACUGCGGUCAAACUAACAUGAAAAAAGGGCCAACUAGGUAGGACCUUACCGGGUAGGUCCAGAUUUUGAUCUUUAACCUUGGAACAAUGAGAAGCCCAUGAGGCAUUUAGCCAAUUAACGGUUUAUAAAGUUCACUUUGGAAGCAAUUAGAAAAUCAGCAUGAAAUGGAGGGGGCUGAGUGGAUAUCAGGAGAAGGCUGAGGCUAACUCAGCAGCCCAGGAAGAGAAGCAAGGUCUUAGAUUAAGGGACUGGUGAUGUGAGAGUGUUCAGUGAAGCUCAGGCAGCCUCCGCUUCUU